UACAGAGGUCUCAAGCGUUGUUCGGAUUCAUUGGGCGUAAAGGGUGCGUAGGUGGCGCCGUAAGUCGGGUGUGAAAUUUCGGAGCUUAACUCCGAAACUGCAUUUGAUACUGCGGUGCUUGAGGACUGGAGAGGAGACUGGAAUUCAUGGUGUAGCGGUGAAAUGCGCAGAUAUCAGGAGGAACACCGGUGGCGAAGGCGGGUCUCUGGGCCGUAACUGACGCUGAGGCGCGAAAGCUAGGGGAGCAAACGGG
rnacentral:rRNA from 1 species